rnacentral:rRNA from 1 species
GCGGCGGACGGGUGAGUACACGUGGGUAACCUGCCUGUAAGACUGGGAUAACUCCGGGAAACCGGAGCUAAUACCGGAUAGUUCCUUGAACCGCAUGGUUCAAGGAUGAAAGACGGUUUCGGCUGUCACUUACAGAUGGACCCGCGGCGCAUUAGCUAGUUGGUGAGGUAACGGCUCACCAAGGCGACGAUGCGUAGCCGACCUGAGAGGGUGAUCGGCCACACUGGGACUGAGACACGGCCCAGACUCCUACGGGAGGCAGCAGUGGUCAUAGCUGGUUUCCUG